AGACUUAGGAUAUUAGACCAAGGGCCUUCCAAGCCCUAAGUAGAAGUUAAAACUUCUAGUCUUUG
rnacentral:tRNA from 1 species